GUGAGCCUAGUGAUAGGAGACUAUCUAGCUUGGUUCGGAGAGCCACCCUUCUUCCACUCCGU
rfam:Triticum aestivum genome assembly, contig: Triticum_aestivum_CS42_TGACv1_scaffold_434440_5DL